CACACUGCUCAGCAGGAAAUCACAUUGCAAAUGAUUUGUUUUAUUUUAGUCCUGUCAUCCUGGGUAGCUCUGCAUUGCUUUAUCUGAGCUUGCGAAACAGCCCUGAAUGUGAGCAGUCAGAAUCAAGUCAUGUUCUCGCCCUUCAUCGCGCUUGGCACGUUUUCUUUCCGGACACAUCCAGUGGAUACUGUGCAGACCUUCUCCAGCUAAUCUCAGGAAGGCUGAAGUUUUUAGACGGCCACCCUUCAUAUUUAGGGGUGCUUCUCAGGCCUUCGGUAUUACUCAGGAAUUCCUGAUAUGUUGCCGUGCAGUGGUGGUGCACACCUAUAGUUCCAGUGCUCAGGAGGCAAAGGGAGGCAGAUAACUGUGAGUUCGAGGC